rnacentral:rRNA from 1 species
UUAAGCGACUAAGCGUACACGGUGGAUGCCCUGGCAGUCAGAGGCGAUGAAGGACGUGCUAAUCUGCGAUAAGCGUCGGUAAGGUGAUAUGAACCGUUAUAACCGGCGAUUUCCGAAUGGGGAAACCCAGUGUGAUUCGUCACACUAUCAUUAACUGAAUCCAUAGGUUAAUGAGGCGAACCGGGGGAACUGAAACAUCUAAGUACCCCGAGGAAAAGAAAUCAACCGAGAUUCCCCCAGUAGCGGCGAGCGAACGGGGAGCAGCCCAGAGCCUGAAUCAGUGUGUGUGUUAGUGGAAGCGUCUGGAAAGGCGCGCGAUACAGGGUGACAGCCCCGUACACAAAAAUGCACAUGCUGUGAGCUCGAUGAGUAGGGCGGGACACGUGGUAUCCUGUCUGAAUAUGGGGGGACCAUCCUCCAAGGCUAAAUACUCCUGACUGACCGAUAGUGAACCAGUACCGUGAGGGAAAGGCGAAAAGAACCCCGGCGAGGGGAGUGAAAAAGAACCUGAAACCGUGUACGUACAAGCAGUGGGAGCACGCUUCGGCGUGUGACUGCGUACCUUUUGUAUAAUGGGUCAGCGACUUAUAUUCUGUAGCAAGGUUAACCGAAUAGGGGAGCCGAAGGGAAACCGAGUCUUAACUGGGCGUUAAGUUGCAGGGUAUAGACCCGAAACCCGGUGAUCUAGCCAUGGGCAGGUUGAAGGUUGGGUAACACUAACUGGAGGACCGAACCGACUAAUGUUGAAAAAUUAGCGGAUGACUUGUGGCUGGGGGUGAAAGGCCAAUCAAACCGGGAGAUAGCUGGUUCUCCCCGAAAGCUAUUUAGGUAGCGCCUCGUGAAUUCAUCUCCGGGGGUAGAGCACUGUUUCGGCAAGGGGGUCAUCCCGACUUACCAACCCGAUGCAAACUGCGAAUACCGGAGAAUGUUAUCACGGGAGACACACGGCGGGUGCUAACGUCCGUCGUGAAGAGGGAAACAACCCAGACCGCCAGCUAAGGUCCCAAAGUCAUGGUUAAGUGGGAAACGAUGUGGGAAGGCCCAGACAGCCAGGAUGUUGGCUUAGAAGCAGCCAUCAUUUAAAGAAAGCGUAAUAGCUCACUGGUCGAGUCGGCCUGCGCGGAAGAUGUAACGGGGCUAAACCAUGCACCGAAGCUGCGGCAGCGACGCUUAUGCGUUGUUGGGUAGGGGAGCGUUCUGUAAGCCUGCGAAGGUGGCCUGUGAGGGUUGCUGGAGGUAUCAGAAGUGCGAAUGCUGACAUAAGUAACGAUAAAGCGGGUGAAAAGCCCGCUCGCCGGAAGACCAAGGGUUCCUGUCCAACGUUAAUCGGGGCAGGGUGAGUCGACCCCUAAGGCGAGGCCGAAAGGCGUAGUCGAUGGGAAACAGGUUAAUAUUCCUGUACUUGGUGUUACUGCGAAGGGGGGACGGAGAAGGCUAUGUUGGCCGGGCGACGGUUGUCCCGGUUUAAGCGUGUAGGCUGGUUUUCCAGGCAAAUCCGGAAAAUCAAGGCUGAGGCGUGAUGACGAGGCACUACGGUGCUGAAGCAACAAAUGCCCUGCUUCCAGGAAAAGCCUCUAAGCAUCAGGUAACAUCAAAUCGUACCCCAAACCGACACAGGUGGUCAGGUAGAGAAUACCAAGGCGCUUGAGAGAACUCGGGUGAAGGAACUAGGCAAAAUGGUGCCGUAACUUCGGGAGAAGGCACGCUGAUAUGUAGGUGAAGUCCCUCGCGGAUGGAGCUGAAAUCAGUCGAAGAUACCAGCUGGCUGCAACUGUUUAUUAAAAACACAGCACUGUGCAAACACGAAAGUGGACGUAUACGGUGUGACGCCUGCCCGGUGCCGGAAGGUUAAUUGAUGGGGUUAGCGGUAACGCGAAGCUCUUGAUCGAAGCCCCGGUAAACGGCGGCCGUAACUAUAACGGUCCUAAGGUAGCGAAAUUCCUUGUCGGGUAAGUUCCGACCUGCACGAAUGGCGUAAUGAUGGCCAGGCUGUCUCCACCCGAGACUCAGUGAAAUUGAACUCGCUGUGAAGAUGCAGUGUACCCGCGGCAAGACGGAAAGACCCCGUGAACCUUUACUAUAGCUUGACACUGAACAUUGAGCCUUGAUGUGUAGGAUAGGUGGGAGGCUUUGAAGUGUGGACGCCAGUCUGCAUGGAGCCGACCUUGAAAUACCACCCUUUAAUGUUUGAUGUUCUAACGUUGACCCGUUAUCCGGGUUGCGGACAGUGUCUGGUGGGUAGUUUGACUGGGGCGGUCUCCUCCUAAAGAGUAACGGAGGAGCACGAAGGUUGGCUAAUCCUGGUCGGACAUCAGGAGGUUAGUGCAAUGGCAUAAGCCAGCUUGACUGCGAGCGUGACGGCGCGAGCAGGUGCGAAAGCAGGUCAUAGUGAUCCGGUGGUUCUGAAUGGAAGGGCCAUCGCUCAACGGAUAAAAGGUACUCCGGGGAUAACAGGCUGAUACCGCCCAAGAGUUCAUAUCGACGGCGGUGUUUGGCACCUCGAUGUCGGCUCAUCACAUCCUGGGGCUGAAGUAGGUCCCAAGGGUAUGGCUGUUCGCCAUUUAAAGUGGUACGCGAGCUGGGUUUAGAACGUCGUGAGACAGUUCGGUCCCUAUCUGCCGUGGGCGCUGGAGAACUGAGGGGGGCUGCUCCUAGUACGAGAGGACCGGAGUGGACGCAUCACUGGUGUUCGGGUUGUCAUGCCAAUGGCACUGCCCGGUAGCUAAAUGCGGAAGAGAUAAGUGCUGAAAGCAUCUAAGCACGAAACUUGCCCCGAGAUGAGUUCUCCCUGACUCCCUGAGAGUCCUGAAGGAACGUUGAAGACGACGACGUUGAUAGGCCGGGUGUGUAAGCGCAGCGAUGCGUUGAGCUAACCGGUACUAAUGAACCGUGAGGCUUAACCUU